UACGGGGGGGGGCAAGCGUUGUUCGGAAUUACUGGGCGUAAAGGGCUCGUAGGCGGCCAACUAAGUCGGACGUGAAAUCCCCAGGCUCAACCUGGGAACUGCGUCUGAUACUGGAUGGCUUGAAUCCGGGAGAGGGAUGCAGAAUUCCAGGUGUAGCGGUGAAAUGCGUAGAUAUCUGGAGGAAUACCGGUGGCGAAGGCGGCAUCCUGGACCGGCAUUGACGCUGAGGAGCGAAAGCGUGGGGAGCGAACAGG
rnacentral:rRNA from 1 species